rnacentral:lncRNA from 1 species
AGGCCCGAGCGCGGGAGAAAGUGGAGCUGAGAUUGUAGGAAAUUCGGAGUUAUAUUUUCCAGCCUCUCGGGCCAGAAGUCUCAACUACGUCCUGGGAAACAUAUAUCAAAUGGAGUUGAAGAGAAAAAAGGAGGGAAUGAGCAAACAAGUGACUGGGGCUACAGGAAGUGAUGGAGACCUCAGAGAUCAUCUGGGAUGGCCCUCCUCCUCUGGGUGAGGAAAUAAACCCAGAGAAGGAUUUUCAUAAAACAGUGCUGUUUUUCCCUGUGAGAGGAUUAGAGAUAAAAUGCUGGUGUCGCCCUGGUCUAACUUCUGCAGUGGCAUCUUUCCCCACCUCAGCAUCUGCAGCAUCUGGUAAAGCAGCCUGCAGACAAGAAAGCAUCUCCUGCAGGGAAUGCAAUUUUUGACCCCCUUUGUAAAGAGGAUCUUAAAUAAAGCCAGGCCUUGUUAUGAGCCACCCAUUCAUUUUAAAAGAGCCUUUGCUGAUUUCACUUGGGGUCAUCUUUACAGUCAUUGGCAAACAAAUUGUAAUCUGCUGUGCUUUCCUUGUGGUUUCAGAGAGUCAUUUCUCUGUCUUUGACACUCUUCCCUUAAGAUUAUUUUCUCUGAGCCAGCCUGUCUAGCCCAGUCCUGAAUAUAAAUAGCUCCAAGUUUGUAUUUCUUGAGCGCGAAUGCCCUGCUAUUGCUGGGUUAUGUGAAACCCUUUCUUAUGUUGAACACAAGAAGCCCAUGAUUAUUGGUACCACAGAUUCUCACAUUCUUAAUCAGUUCCACCUGGCCAAUAAACAGUAAAGCCAGGACAGCUUCUCUUCUGUGUGGGUUUUCUACUUUAUGGGUAAUAAAACUGUCCUCAGUGUGAUUUAGGAAUCCCUUUGAUGCCUGCUAGUUUACUGUAUUGGUAUUUCAGGAGUGUUGGCAGUCACUGGUGAGACUUCACUACUGGCAUCCCAGAACUGAGACAGGGAGGUGGUUCGGCUCCAUCGUGGGCGAAACACAGCUGAUUUCUUUCAAACAUAGAGAAAGGAAAUAAGGAGGAAAGGAGCUGUGGGGGAAGGGAAAGAAGAAAAGGGACAAUGAAGAUGGAAUGUAAUUCAUUGCUAGAAGUCAACCUCCUUGCCUGCAAGUUAAAGAAAUGAAGCUGGGCUAAGUCUUAGCUUUUCUGUUUUGCAUUAGGUAGUAAGAAAACGUGCUCUCUGCAGAUUUCAGGACAGAGAAGAGUAUGAGGAACAUCCUCCCUCUCUCAGCCCUUUGCCAGCUCCAAGUUUACGGGCUUCCCCCACCCCCCACGCCCAGUGGGUGGUUUUGGUGAUGUGUUAAUAUUUCAUGGGGAGGUCAGUUGUGUUUAUGUUUUUAUUUUUAUUUUUUCUGACCAGUUCAUUAGGAUAUUUGAAGUGGGAAAGUCUACAUGGUGUAGGAGGUUAACUCCUAUCAGAUCAAAAGAGAAAAGAAACUGGGGCAUCCGCAAAUAGUGAAUGCUUUGUGAACUUGAGGAGCUCUUGGUGGUUGGCACUCCUUGUUUAAACUACUUCUUUUAACCACAUUAACCAAUAACCCUGGUAAAAACUUGGAACUCCUUUGGACUUGGAAGCAGUUUUGUUACAUAGUGCCCUUCCUUGUAUUAGCAUCACCUACUCUUGUCUUUAAUUAUUUGGGUCAUUUAUUCUACUUGAAUGGAAUGAAUGCCAUCAGCCUUAUCAUUACUAUCAUUAUCACAUUUUAAAGAUAAGUAAUCUUAAUUGGCUGCAGUUUAAAGAGUUUAGGGAAUGUUCGGUAAUAUAUAUGUAUAAGAGAGAACCCUCCUGUGAGUGCCUGGUGCCCAAGAGUUACUUAUCAAGUGGGUGAUAAUUGUUGGCAUAAUCUAUGUAUAUCUUUAAAGAUCCAAAUUUUCUCCUAAAAUACUUUCCCCCAAAUCAAUUAAUGUACCUUAAUUAAUGUAUUUUUUUAACUAUUGCUAUAGCUUUCUAAAAAUCUCAUUGUAAAGAUUUGUUAAUCCCUUUUGCAGAUGGUGAAAGAAUCAAGUGGAGACAGUGCAGUCUCUUGACAAUUAGCAGAAUGUGUGUGUGUGUAAGACUCUUUAACAAAUGCACUGAGCACCUAUUAUACAUGUGCCAAGAACUAUAAUAAAAGCUGGAACCACAAAAAUGUUUAAGGCAUAGACCCUAUCCUUGAGAAUUGUGUAGUGUAAUGGGGUGAUACAUUUUCAAAUAAAUAAUUAUAAUAGAAAGUGGUAGUACUAAAAUAGAAGCUAAUUUUGCCUGGGGGAGUUGAGAAAGACUCCCUGAAAAGGUACUUCUUGAAUUGAGUUUUGUGUGGUGAGCUUGGGUUUGGUAAGAGCAGGGCAGAGGAGAAUAUUCUGAAGGGAGCAAGUCUGACAAGGCAUGGAGGGUUGACGUACAUAAUCUGGGAAGAGCUGGAGUAUGGAAGAGAAGUCAAGAAUCAAGCAAUGGAAGUUCUUCUUUCUGCCUCAUUUUUACUUUUUUAAUUGCCCUGACAAAAGUUUAUGAGGGAGCAGGCUGACAGUUUAUGAGGGAUCAGUGUUCCACAAAUGUGGAUAAUUGAAAGUGUCAGAAAAUAGAUGAGUCAAAAAUACAACAACUUGACACCAAAAUGAUGGAAUCGCUAGCCAGUACCACAUGACCACAUAUUGAAUUCUUCCAGGAUUAUUAUAUCUGCUUAUAUGAAUUAUUUAUGCAUUUAUUAAUAAGGUGUACCUAGUCUUUUAAAAAGUAUUUGAAAUAAUAAUGAUUUUGAUAGGUGUCCAUAUUUAAUCAAAAUUAACAUAGUGAUAUCUUACAUUUAUACAAAAUCAACAUUUCUAGUUGGCCUGAAAGGAGAAAACAAUUUAGGCAUUGAAAAAAUUGGAUUCCAGUAAAUCCUAAAUGUGAAAGGAAACAACUUUGUGUCUUGGUUUUUGUCUACAUGAGUUAACAUUUAUAAUGUUUUGUCUCAUAUAUUUCUCCUGGAAAUAAAAUGCAUUCAAAUACUAAUAAAUUAGUGUGUCAUCCUAAUUGAAACUUGGUAAAUAAAAAAAAAAAUUGCUCAGU